AUUGAACGCUGGCGGCAGGCCUAACACAUGCAAGUCGAGCGGAUGAAGGGAGCUUGCUCCUGGAUUCAGCGGCGGACGGGUGAGUAUUGCCUAGGAAUCUGCCUGGUAGUGGGGGAUAACGUCCGGAAACGGGCGCUAAUACCGCAUACGUCCUGAGGGAGAAAGUGGGGGAUCUUCGGACCUCACGCUAUCAGAUGAGCCUAGGUCGGAUUAGCUAGUUGGUGGGGUAAAGGCCUACCAAGGCGACGAUCCGUAACUGGUCUGAGAGGAUGAUCAGUCGCACUGGAACUGAGACACGGUCCAGACUCCUACGGGAGGCAGCAGUGGGGAAUAUUGGACAAAGGGCGAAAGCCUGAUCCAGCCAUGCCGCGUGUGUGAAGAAGGUCUUCGGAUUGUAAAGCACUUUAAGUUGGGAGGAAGGGCAGUAAGUUAAUACCUUGCUGUUUUGACGUUACCAACAGAAUAAGCACCGGCUAACUUCGUG
rnacentral:rRNA from 1 species